rnacentral:rRNA from 1 species
UACGGAGGGUGCAAGCGUUAUCCGGAUUCACUGGGUUUAAAGGGUGCGUAGGCGGUCAGCACAAGUCAGUUGUGAAAUCUCCGGGCUUAACUCGGAAAGGUCAACUGAUACUGUGCGACUAGAGUGCAGAAGGGGCAACUGGAAUUCUCGGUGUAGCGGUGAAAUGCGUAGAUAUCGAGAGGAACACCUGCGGCGAAGGCGGGUUGCUGGGCUGACACUGACGCUGAUGCGCGAAAGCCAGGGGAGCGAACGGG